rnacentral:lncRNA from 1 species
AAGAAGGAUGACUUGGAAGCAGGGCUGCGGAGAAGCACCUCAGCAGGCAGAGAACAUGUUUUGAUCGCAUGUUGGAAAAACAGUGGCUCUUACAGUUAACCAUGGCAUAGGAAGGUCACCUUUUCAUCCUAGUGCUAACACCCAGCUGGAGUGGCAGUAUUACUGGAAUAAAAUCCUGAAAGGAAAAGCAGGUACACAUGAGUUCUUUAAAGCCGUAGUACACCUAUGGAUGGCCUUGAGAUGCUGCUGGGGGUGUUG